CCGCAUCUACUACUCGGGUUCCCAAGUUCUUUCUCCACAACCGCGUUGGCAACCAAGCCAAAAGCUCUAACUACGCAAACAGAGAAAGAGAAGUCUCAUUCUCCAACUAAGAAUACCCUCUAUGGCGAGCUCGCGUGAGAGAGCAAGGAGGAAGAAUCCUUAUGUUCCACUCCUGUCAAUCGCGACAUUCAAGCCCACGCAAAUGAAGUACG
rnacentral:lncRNA from 1 species